UCUAGGGAUCUCAGGAGCACUUACUCCUGAGGCGCUGUCCGGCUCGUCGAUGACCUCGGUCGUCCGAGAUCGGGCCCGCCUAGAUCAACGUCGACCUCGACGAUCACGUCGGCGGACGUUUCGCUGUUGAGUUUUGAGAGACCGGCCGGCGGCCGGCUAUCUCUCGUUGGGCGAGCUGGAGCUCGCGCGCACCUUGAAAACUCCAUAGCUGCGAAUGUAUGAGUUCUUCACGAUCAAGAGACUAAGGGCACACGGUGGAUGCCUUGGCGCCAAGAGCCGAAGAAGGACGUGGGCGGCUGCGAUAAGCCCGGGUGAGGUGCUGACCGACCUUUGACCCCGGGAUCU
rnacentral:misc_RNA from 1 species